GGAGCUAUAGUGAAACGGUUAUCACAGUUGCCUUUUAAGCAAUCAUUUCGGGUUCGAAUCCCGGUGGCUCCACCA
rnacentral:tRNA from 1 species